rnacentral:rRNA from 1 species
UACGGAGGGCGCAAGCGUUAUCCGGAUUCACUGGGCUUAAAGGGUGCGUAGGUGGGUCUGUAAGUCAGUGGUGAAAUCUCCGUGCUUAACAUGGAAACUGCCAUUGAUACUAUAGGUCUUGAAUUUUCUGGAGGUCAGCGGAAUAUGUCAUGUAGCGGUGAAAUGCUUAGAUAUGACAUAGAACACCAAUUGCGAAGGCAGCUGGCUACAGGGAUAUUGACACUGAGGCACGAAAGCGUGGGGAUCAAACAGG